GGGAGGAUGGUGGGCGGGCUCCGAGCCCAGCUCCACUGGCCCCGGCCGCGGGGCUCGCCCCUCCGUCCCCAAACGACCGUCUCCGCUGCCAUGAGAUGCCGACAGCCUGUGCGCUGGCCGCCACCCCCUGCUCCAUCAGGUGCUGGAAUCUGAGUAAAAGCCUGGGCGCGAGCUCCCAGCCCCGGGGCCUGCCACCGGCUCCACGAAGCGGGCAGCUCCAGCGGCCGCCGGGAGAAGGAAGGGCGACCGGGGGAGACGGGUCGCAGGGACAGCACGUGGCGGAAAGUUAGCCCCGGACUAGCACGCCCCACCCGGAGAAGCCGGCCUGGAAGGGGCUGCGGACCACCAGGCGGAGCGGUGGGCGACCGAAGUGCGGCUGGGCUGGCCUCCUCGUCUCCGCACUGGAAGAAUUGCCCUUCCGCAAGUCUUCCCUUCCCACAUGGGGGCCCUCCAGGCCGCACCUCGGUCGCCCACCGCUUCCCUUGAGAAGGGAGACUAAAGACAGGCAUCUGGAAGCUGUCACUGUGGCGCGCGGGCAGACAGGGGAUCCCAUUGGAGAGGAAGAGCCGUAGUAGUCGCUGCUGCCUUCGGCCGACCCAACGGCCGCCUGCUUGGGAGGAAGAAAAAGAACGCCCCCGCUGAAGAAUUAAGGCAGCCAUUGGUUGCUCUAGGGGGUUACAAGAUGGGCAGUACAAUAGAGGAUGGACUGGAGUUGGAAAAGACUAAAGCAGCAAGUUUGAUAAGGAGGCUACAGCAAUAGUCCAGGUGAAAGACGCAAGAGCCCAAAAUGCAGCAGUGGCCAAGGGAAUGGAUCUGAGAUAAAGUUCAGAAGAUAGAGUUGGCAGGGCAGGUGAGUUUAUCUUUAAUCCAGGAGAAGAGAAGAAGGCCACAUGAAGAUGGAGCAAGAGAUUGGAGUGAUGUGGCCACAAGCCAAGGAAGCUGAGGAAUGAAGACAGCUAUCAGAAGCUGGAAGAGGAAAAGAAUUCUCUCUUGGGGUCUGCAGAGGGAGAACAGCCCUGCCAACACUUCCAUUUCCAAUGUCUGGACUCUAGAACUGUGAGAAAAUAAAUUCCCAUUAUUUUAAGGAA
rnacentral:lncRNA from 1 species